rnacentral:lncRNA from 1 species
GGUUUUACUGGUGUGGNAAACAAAUGUUUGUUGCGUUUCAAGAAGCGAUUGUCAGUGCGCUGGGGCAUCGAUGCGAAGGUGGAAGUUAGAGCGUGUUGUCCAGAAAAUUGGAUUCAAGCCCCUCGACUUUGACCAAGCAAGAAAAGUAAACGUCAACAGCAAAACCACGAAAGUGAGCUUGAGUGAAAGGAUCUUUGAAGUGACAUGAGUCCAGAGCUUCGUCACGUCAUUGAUUCUCUGUUGCAGUUGAUCCAAAGACAACAGAUUAAUUGAUCCAAAAAGAGCGUGAUGGCUUGAAGAGAUGCAAGAAGUUGUUAACACAGGAAUCUAUUUGUAGAGUAGAAUAUGUAGUACAUCAGUUAGAGCACUCAACCCACAGAUAUUUCUUGGAAUUUUUGUUCAGGCUGCAUUUGCUUAUAUGUUGUGGAGAAUAGAGUAAGGUUAAGCCAUGUAUUCCAAACAAGUGCUACGCUUAGUUUUUAGUUCCAUCCAUUGGAUCAUUAUGGCCAAGUGUUCAAGAAACAGGCAAGCUGGAAAUUUAUUUUUGUAAAUGCAUUCGAUUAUACUGGGUGGGUGGGUUGUUUUGUCUGUCUUUUUCUUUCAAGAUAAGUCAAGUACUACAAGGAAGACAUUCCUUCAUAUUGAAGUACCUUCUGAGGCAAGCCUGCAAAAGGUUACAUUUUAUCCCUCAUACACUGCAAUAUUUGUAGAAUAUGUGCAUAUUCUCCUUAGAGUUUCAGCUCAAAAUGUAUAUGCCAUCUAAUGGAAAUAGCCUGGAAAUCUUGGUGAAGAUAUUGAAGGUUUAGUUGCUUCAGACUUUCUAUAAAGACAUCAUGAACAUUAGUAAACAGUGAAAUGUAGACUAUGGCAUUUAAGUGACAAAUAGGGGGUUCGAUUGGGGUUGCAUCUUUUUUUCAUCUUUCAGGAUGAGCAUUCAAGUUCAUAAGAAUUUCAUUCUUCAGGCCAUGAAAUCAAUCUAAACAUCACUGGUAAAACCUAUUUGAUUAAGUACCAUCUCGUUUGUGGACAGCAAAUAAUCAAACAAUAUAGUUUAUGAGGUGUUGGUCGUUUCGGCUAGCUUAAGCCUGCAUUGAAGAGCGAGUGUGUGGGAGAGGUUUGGCAGGAAUGGAUGCAAGAUAGAUUAAAGGAGGAAGAACCUUAAGCAUGUGGUGUAUGCGUUUUGUCUUUGCCAUUUCUUGAAGGACUUUCAUGCGAAAGAUGCUAGAGCUGUUCAAGAUCUGCGACUAUUUGAUAAGUUGUCUAAGAAAUAUUCUGCCCAUAAUGGAAUAACCUUAGGAAUUCUUGUUCAAAGUGGAGAGAGAAAGAGAAUAGAAUGUGGUCCUUUUAUCCUUGUCCCUAGCUUAGAGAAUGAGAUGUGCAUAAAGUGUUAAAAUGACUGGCGACUAUCAGCUAUUUUUUGUGAAGUGUCAUGGGGCUGGGUUGGUGUGCUUUGUUUCUUUGACUUGCAGCGCAAGUAUCCACCAAAAAAGAAAAUCGGCUGAUAAUGGACGAGACACAGAUACAGUCAAUUAGUAAGAAAAAGCUGACAAGUAAUAGUAAGACGAUAGUAUUGCCAUCUUAAAUCACCUAUCCAGCAUAGUUAAUACAACCAACUUGUAGGAUGACCUUUUCCUCCACGAUAAGCACUACACAUCCCUAACAGACGACAACACAACUAAGAUAUCUAUCGAGACACUGAAUGGAAAGAUAGUAGUUUUACUCUGCAUCUAGAAAUAAGAAAAAGAAGGAGAGUGGUAAGAUGUUUUUGGCCAUUUGGGUCUGUAUGUGGUAAUUCUUUCUUGCCUAGUGAUUGUGAAAAGAGUUGACAAGAAAAUCAGAGUCCAGUUAAGGGUUUGAAAUGUUGACAAAGUCUUACUACAGGGAUGUUUUGGCUUCUGGGAAAGAGUACAGAAAAGUUACAACUUCUAAGUAAGCACUAAUUUGAGUUGAUGUCGUCAAUGUGUUUUGGCUUCCAUUACCAGGAUCCAAUGUAGCAAAUGAUGAAAUUCCCGAGUGUGACUUAAAAUCUUCAACACGUAAGCCAUGUCAAGCUCAUUUAAGUCUAAAGUAGUUGUGGUUCAUGUAGUAGUGGUUUAGGACUGAAAUCGUUUAAUAUAAUGCAACAUAUUGCCGACAAAGUUUUCCAAAGCCAUGUGGUCUUGACUCGGCAGUUCUAAAGCAAUCACAGCUUUGAAGCACUUGGUAAGCUAAAUGCAUUUUCCAAUUUUUGGUAUAGUGGUGUGUGUAUUUUUCUUGUGUACAGAGCCCUCGAUCAUUGGUGACUUCCCUAAGAUNCUAGGCAAAAGCAAUACCAGUUGAGUCUAAAGCGCCAAUCAAAUUUUGGUUUACAAGUUUAAGCAAAGUAAGAUGUGAUAAACUUCAAAGUAAAAUGGCCAUUUGUGUAUUUCCUUGGUGCAUGCUCCUAUUUCCAUUUACAGAAAACAUUUUUGUUCUAUUGAUGUAAGGAGGCGGAAAGUUCUUGGUAACAUAUUCCUCGGUAAUAAUAAUCUUGGUCUGAAAAGAGUAACUUGUGUACCAGAAUUUCAUUGAUCUCGAUCUAGUUGGCAAUUAUUAUACUAUAGAGAUAAACAAGUUGAAUGGCAUAUUUUCAAGUAUGAGAAGUCUAAAGUUCCUAGUGUUUAAAGCAUCAUGCCGGGCAUGUGGGAAUUUUUUGGAUGUUUUGGUUUCUUUUGACAGGUUUGAUCUUGACAAACAUUAGUUCCACAGUUGAUUUUCAAAGAAAGUCUUGCAAUUUUGGUGGAUUUUUCAAAAAAUUGGUCGUUCGUGGUAUUAGUGUAAGCCAAACCUUUUAUUUUGGUGGCAGUGGUUUUCUAAAAGAACCAAUUCCCUUCGAGAGGUCUUCUUAUUCAGCAGUAGCAUUUUGUUUCCUUUAAAAAAUGUNGGGAUUUUUGAGCUCUUCAAGUAUUUGAGAUCGAUGAUUUACAGAUUGCGAAGAAAAACUAUUCAGCUUGNUACCAAAUUGAUGAGAAAAACCUGUGGUAAGGCUGUUUAAUUUUAUUUUGACCCUUUUGGGUCAGGAUUACGGUUGUGUUUUCCUUUUUUCUUUCAGCAAAUUUGUUGUAAUAGACAAAUGAGAAGUGAAAGUAGUGUUGCCUAGUAAUAUCUUAAGGAUGCAAGAAUUGCAAGCUCUCACUUCCAAGCCAUACCACUUCAUGUACAACCAUAAGUUACAGUUAGAGCUAUCAUUUGCGAGUGUUCCAUCAUAAAGCGAGCUAACAAGUUAAACCAUGAAAAGUUAAAGCCAUUGCCAUAUGGAGUCCUCAUUUUUUUGUCCGGUUAUGUUUUCUGCCUCAGGACUAAGACAUAAGUGUGUAAUCAAGUCCAGAACAUGUAAAUUUUCCAGUUGUAAGGUAUCAUUCCAGCCACCUUGCAUUCUUUUUUGUGGUGUUUGAUUUGUUUUUGCCAGGUCUGCUUGUAAUAAAGCACAGUCCUUCAAUAUUGACUUCCCAGUUAACUAAAUCUUCACUUUCCAACUUUUUGGUGUCAGUGGUAGCAGUCCAACAGUGUACCUCAAAUGAGACGGCUGUAUCUGAAAAAUGAAUCUGUGGCGAUAGCGUUUUCUUAGAGUGCAGAAUGUUAACAACAAUCCAAAAGACUUUCACUCUUUGGCAAUAGUUAGCAACAUCGAAACCUGAGCAGCUGGUAGUUUUUGUUCUGUGAAAUGGUAGUACCAUUCUUGAUUUUCCAGCAGCUUUAUUAUGAAAUCGUGCCAGUUCAGGAAUGUCUGGUAAGACGAUGUUUUAGUUUCUUAUAACCCAUUUGGGUCCAUUGUAGGCCUCUGUGUUUCCUAUUAUUGCAGAAAAUUCCUUUGAAGCCAAUCGAUGAAUAAUGUCCAGUUUCUAUGAAGAUUACUAAAUCAAGGAAGUUAGCCAAUGCAUANCCAAAAGAUGCAAGUGUUUUGUCACCUUGAAACCAUAUUCANUCCAGUAAAGUUACUGUGUAAUUUGUGGCAUUCUAAAGUCUUGAGAGUUCCAACCAUAAAGAUUCCUUAGCAAUUUACAGUGAAAUAUCACGCCAACGAUCAUUGCCAUGUGCCUUUGUCAUGCUUGCUUGAAGGAUAAGUCAUAAAAGACCAGGUCAAUUUCAAGUGAAAUAGUUAACAUGUGAGGUAUUGUUAAAACCAUAUUCUUUUUGUGGUGCAUAUUUUGGUUUUCUUUGUCAGGUCUAACAAAUCAUAGUCCUUCAAUAUCGAGUUUCCUNUCAUUCUCAAUUACGUAUUUUGCGUGGAGGGUUGGUNGUUUUCUUGAUUGGCAGCCAAGCUCUACUUACAAAUUGAGCAUCCCAACUGAAAGAGUAAGCGCAAGAAACAUCAAAUCUCCUUUGACAUGAGCAGUUUUUAGAGCAGCAUUUCCCCAAGAAUGAUUUCUCAGUGCCAGACAUGUGGGUUAGGUGUUUUGACCACUUGAUUUACGAAACUUUUCAAACCAAAACUGAUAUCUGGUAAGGAUGUGUUUUAAUUUUGACCCAUUUGGGUCCAUUGUGCUUGUUACAUAAUUUUUCUUGCAGCAAAUUUCUGGUGAAGCACUUGAUGAGAAAUUUUGAGAAUCCGGAUCACUACAUGUAGAUUCCAGUAGAAUUGCACAAGUACAAUAGUAAUCCUAAGAUGAAAGCUUUGUUAUGCAACAUACAUGAUUUCCUUUUUGACUGUUUGUGUUCAUUUGUGAGUUUUUUGGAUCACUAUAAGUAGACAACUAAAAAGCGGUAAGCAAAGUUUUUUCUGAGAUGAUUUGUUUUUUUUUUGUAUGCAUGUGUUUAUCAUGUUAUAGCAGAUAGCAAGAUCCACAAUGAAUCAGGCAAAUUUAUCAAGAGGUAUCAGCAUUGUUUGGCCAUAACGCUUAAAUCUCCGAAGUAUAUGUAGAGUGACAAAGAACAAUUUAAGAUUGGUGUGUGUGUUCACUGUCUUCGCAGUGUCUCUGGUAAAGUUCAUUCACUUGUGAAAAGUGUCUGUUUUUUUCAACUGUGGAAUUCUGUGGCAGUAUCUAUUUGUGGUGUUCGUUAAUUGUUACCAUCCAAGCACAAACUUUGAAUACUUGUCAUUUUCACUUGUACGUGAAUGUGAGCAUCUUCAUUCAUCAACCCUGUUAUUUCAAACACAUUGUUACUAUGGAUUAAGCCAGCAGCAUUCUAACCAAUAACCAGGCAUUUGUGGAGCACUAGAAGGAAUGUAAACCGAAGCUUUUUUUUUUUACAAAGACAUAGCAGUACUUAGCCAUCACAGUGAAACCUAAGAUAAUGUACAUGUUAUGUAACACAUCAGAUGGUAAAAGAUUAUUGGUAAGCUUUCAAGUAAGCAAUUUAACUUCUAAUGGCCCUUUGGGUCUCUAGUUUUUGUAUGUAGUCUGCAUUCUAUUUUCUACAGAUUGUCUCUGUAAUGCACGUCCUACUAACCAAGAGUCAAAGUAUGAAUAUUGCCCAACUUCUUUACGAAAGAGUAGAAAGUAAUCACUGUUAAUGCCAAUGGCCAGAAUCACCUAAACUAUGUCCUGUAAGAGAACCACAUAAGCAUUAAACCAAGCAGACCUACUUGAAACACCUUAACUGUAUUCCUGAGCAAGANCUGCCUAACCAUAAGUUUAUAAUGAGAUCAACCUUAACAGAAAAGUAAUCCAGCACUGCACCACUUAACCUGUGUUCCUGUAACAUUAGAAUUGCCUAAUCCUAUACCAAACCAUCCUGACUCCAAACUUCGGCUGACUAAACUGUAUAUUGAUGUCACGUAAGCAGUUAUGGUUCCCUAGUUGUUGGUGUACUGUUUAAGUCACACUCCAUAUCUUUGGUAUUCCAAUGUGUCCAUUGUGUUUUUGCCUUCAUGAUAUUGUAGUUUCCAGUCUGAAAAGUUUUUGUUUCAUGGCACUAUUCAUACAAGCAUUAUUUUGUAGUCUGAUGUUUUGGUAAGCUAGCAUACAUACAUUGUAGUUGUAGGAGUUUUGUUUUGUCCUUUCAACAGUAUAUUAUAGGUGCAGCCGUCAGCAAUCCAAGUAAAAAUUUAGGUAUUUGAGAAGUAGCUGCUAUCUAGAGGUAGCGAUAAGUAAGCAAUUUGAUUCAUUACUUAGAGUUAACUACUCUCAGUUUUUGAGAAAAAAUAUUUCAUAAUUCUAACAUAGCAACUUUUAGUAAGGUUUUUAUAUGUAAAUAGUUUCAUGACAGUACCUAUUUGUCAUAAUGAGUGAUCAUAGAUGAGUGUAUGUUUGCAUGGUACCAUGUAUGUUUUGGUUAACUAUUUAACAGGCCGGGCAAUUGCAUAGAAGAUGGCUUUUACAGUACAAGAGAUGUAAGUUUUUUUCUGGUAUCUAUGUACCAUACGUGUCAUUAUCAUUAAAUCUUCAGUAAAGGGUGAUUCGAUAUAAAAAGAUCAGCAUUUAUGGUUGUAUUUUUGGUUUUGGAUUUCAAACUCCUACACUUUGAGCUUUCAACCAUGGGUAAGCAGAGUUUUAAAUUUUAUUGCUCGUCAUGCAUUGUUCAUUUGAUCUCAUCAGUACAAAACUGACAAACACGACAAAAUAUUUGGUAAGAAUUUUUGACUUUGUUUUCAUGUCAUUCCAUGGGUUGUUACUUUAUUUUAAUCUUCAGUGAUAAAAAACAACAAAACAAUUCACAUUAUGGUAAGCAACUUUGUUUUGAGAUAAUGCAGUAGUAGAUUGUUGAUUUGAUUAAAUCUUCAGUAUCAAAUAAUGGUCAAAUUUNCGGUAAGCUACUUUUGAGAUUUUACUGUUACGGAUUGUUACUGUCAUUGAAUCUUCAGUUCUAAAAUCAACUAACAUUGUAAACCCUAAACCAGUGGUAAGCAAAAUUGCUUUAAAUUAAUUCGUAUUUUGCGAUGGUUUGUUACUUUCAUUUAAUCUUCAGUAUAUUAUGGUAGUUGCCUUGAGUUUAGGUAAGCAAAAUUGUACCAUCUACUUCGUAACUUUACUAUGACCCUCAGGGUCUCUUGUUAGCAGUGUGCUUCUAUUACUUUUAACAGGCACUAUCAAAAUUAAUACUACUGUGGAAGCAGUUCAGAGAUAUUUGGAAUCGGAAGUAUUCUGAUGAUAUGUAAGACUUAUGUUGUGUAACAGUUUGUCUUAUUAGUCAUUGUAAUUUUAGUGUGAUUUAUUUUAAUUUUUGUAUAUAUAACAGAUCUGUUCAAUAUGUCAUGUAAAGUAUUGGUGUCAUUUGUUUUUAGACUUCUAUAAUGUAAUAGUAAUGUUUAUAUUUCAUGCUAUGCCUAGUUAAAUAACUAAAAAGUACAUGCAGCUGGUUUCACUGGGUUGAGUGCUCUAGGGUUAGUUAAUGUAAGAUAUAUGUAAGGUGUAGAUAUUACAUAUUAUAAGGAUGUAUGGGGGGUAAGGGGUUUCGUUUGUAGAUGUGAUGGAUGUUGGUAAGGAAUUUGGCAGGAGCUCUAAAGAAGGAAGGAGGGUUAUGGAGAUAAGGUGAAUAAGUGAAAGGGGCUGAAAGAUAAAGGAAUUGGUGUAGAGGUGGAGAAGAGGGAAAUAGACUGAAGGUGUGAGAAGAGGACUUGUCAACUCAUCAGGAAAAUGAAUGGAUUGGUACAUGGAAGAAGAGAUAGUAAGAGUGAAGAUGAAUGUGGUUAGCAAGUGGUGCUGAAGGAUAGGGAGAACAGAAAGUUUAGCAAAUGAUGAGAAAGGAAAACAGACGAGA